rnacentral:rRNA from 1 species
UACCAGCACCCCGAGUGGUCGGGACGAUUAUUGGGCCUAAAGCAUCCGUAGCCGGUCCUGCAAGUCUUCCGUUAAAUCCAGCUGCUCAACAGAUGGGCUGCGGGAGAUACUACAGGGCUAGGAGGCGGGAGAGGCAAGCGGUACUUUGUGGGUAGGGGUAAAAUCCGCUGAUCCAUAGAAGACCACCAGUGGCGAAGGCGGCUUGCCAGAACGCGCUCGACGGUGAGGGAUGAAAGCUGGGGGAGCAAACCGG